CUUCCGGUCCCCUCUUCCUGAAUCGAUAACAAACACCUCCCUCCCUCCCUCUCGCUUCCGCCGCCGACGAUCGCCAAUGGAAGCGGCCGAUCUCGUUCCUUUCCUCGACGCUGAUCGCGUUCCCGCUCCCCGAUUCUUGACGUCGUCAGGGAUGCGGUUGCGUUCUUACCGUGGUUUGCUUCUGUUUAGGCGGUGGGGAAAGGUGCAAGAAUCCGAUCGGGAGACGGUGAAAACACUGGUGGCCGUCCAUCGACGACCUUUGACCACGAUUGGACCGAAUCCGAUCUUGUCUUCAGCUUUCAGCGUGGCAGCGAUUUGAGCCAGGUUGAUGUUGAGGCCGAAGGGGUUUCUAGCUGCAGCUAAUCGGCCGCGAUAUGCGGCCGCGGGCCAUCAGAUGGUGUUGCUGCAGAAGCACGGAUAGGAAUGAUGAUGCUAAUUGGAAAUGAAGAAUAGUGGAAGCUCAUGUUCAUGGGAAGACUCUGCAGAUGGUGAGAGCCAUCUUGCUAUGAUAUCAUAUAGACUAUAAACUAUUUGUGUUCUUAUUUGAAGAUAGUUGGAUGCUUUUGCUGCACAGCUAGAAAUCAUUAGUUAGCUCAAUCAUGUUAUGAUAUUGGAUUUCUAGCUAUCCAUGCAAUUGUUAUAUUUGUCAAAACGAUUAUCUAACUGUAAUGCUCUUAUUGUUUCGCGUUGAUUGCGUCAUCCAUUGCUCUGUAGUUGACCUAAUGUGCUCUGGAUUUUGACAAGUUCUAUAUAAAGGCUCUCGGUCUAUCACAUAUGCUUUCCUUUGAACAGACUGUAAAUAUAACCACAGGGAGAAGUCCAUGAUUGCAGCUUUCUUCUUCUUAAGCUAAUUAAGAGUUCGGGAAUUUGAUGCCGAGGAAACCAUAUAGUGCCUGUUAAAAAACCAGGGUUGGUGUAUUAAUGCCUUGAAACUGCUUGGAUUUGAAUAUAUGUUAUGUGACCUAUGGUAGUGAAGAAAAAGAAUUGUAUCAUGCCUUUUAAUCUGAAUACUGAUUAUAAUUGGAUAUCACACUCAAAGAAUAUAGUUUGCAAAUCAUUUUAUUCACAAAUUUUAGCUUGCAUUGUCAAAUAUAACAAAUUCUAAAUUGCCUAUAAUUUUUAGUAUACCUGUCUCUCUUCCUCUUAUAUAGUGGUUUGCGCUUUGCAAAGGAAUGUUAGUGUCAUGUUGCAUGCUCAAUCAUAUGGCACCUAUAUAAUAAUCAAACUGUAUCAUGGUAGAACUAAGAUGAUCUUUUUCUUGAGGUUAGAAGGUAUCUACGUUCAUGGAAAUUGUUUCAACUUCUCGUAUGUUUGACUUGUUUCCUUGAAUGCUUAAGAUUGAUAUGCCUAUUCAUGGCAGAUAUAAGCUACUUUCUCAUUAUUGUCUGCGCAUCUCUCUUGUCGGUAACAAUCAAAGAACACAAACUCGAAGGCUUGGUAGGAGUUGCUCUUGGUCAAGUACACGUGAUGGCCCAACUCUCCUGGAUGGGAUUUGUCGAUGUGAUUGAUUGGUAUAUAAAAUUGAAUGUGCCGACUAUUAGUUACUUGGUGUAGGUAUACUCUGCAAUGUGAUUAAGACCUACUUACAAGUAAUUAGUGGAUCUAUUGGAUCAUGACAUUAGUAUUAGAGGGACUUAGGGUCUGGAAAUGUAGCUUGCUUCUUUGGGGGAAGACUUGAAACAUGGAACACCACUUACAUUUCAGGUGGGCCUCACCACAAAAUGAAAAGAGAUGGGGACAGAGAGGGUCCGGAAACACAUAGGCUUCAUCCCCAUUUUUAAUCUUUUUUUGCUUCAAUAUGUCUCUCUAUGGAAAAAUUCAUUGACUAGAAAUUUGUUGACUCAGCUAUUGGCUUUUUCUUUGUGUUCUGUGUUCUUUCCACUAACACCUCAAGUCAUGAUGAGUUUAGCACUUAAUUUUCUUACAUCUCCAUUUUUAGUCUUUUUUUACUAAUUCGUCGCUAUGAAAAAAUAUUCAUUAACUAGAAAUUCAUUAAAUCAUCUUUUGGCUUAAGUUAUGAUGACUUUAGCACUAAUUAUUUUGCACUCUUUCGGCUUUUUUUAUUUCACCAACCAUGCUUCCUGGCCCCUAUUACUUUUUGCCAAGCUGCCUCAUCCAAGGUAAUUUGACAACCAUAAAAUAGUUCAUCUUUUGGGAAAUUUCUAUACUUAUUAUAAGCAACAGUUACACAUUUGAAUCCAUGCUGAGAUAUGAUGCACAUACGAGCUUCGAUGAUCAGACCGUAAAGCAAAAUAGCAUGAAGUAUUUUUUGGUAGGCAGUCACUGCUCCGGUGCUUUGGGUACGGGGAGGUGAACUCACAAUAAGCUGAAGCCCAGAAACCCAAAUCCUUCUGCAGCCAUGAAAUAGUAGUCUAUUCCUUUUUUUAUCUGGACUAACAAAGUUAUUUCCUUGCUGUAGCUUUGAAGCAAGAAAGCUGGUUGUCUGCCGGAAGAGACGGUCACAUGGUAAAUAGACACUGAACCUGUUCCCGGUUACUCAAAUUCCAAUGAAAUGUUACAAUUGACAUGGAGUGUAACAUCAGAGAGACUGGAGCAUAAUCUGUUCCCUGGAGCCCCCAUGCAUCCGAGAAGCCAAUAAUUUCCUGAUGCAUCUGUUCAGGCCCGACAACACCGAUAAGUUUGAAAGAAAUACAUGGUCACACCGCAGCGAGAAUUUAAUUAUGUCAGAGUCCUUAUCCCGCACUGUUAUAUGCUGAUGCCUGUUAUGCUUGACGCCAGGAAUAUCACGUGGAGUUUGAUGAGCUUUCUGGCCCUGUUGCCUUCAUCACCUUCCCUGUCACCUGCUUCUACUGUGUCUUCGAUCGAUGCGGCCACCGACGCGUCGCCCUUUUUUCUUGAUUUAGACAAUGAAUGCGGCUUCUUUGAGAUAAGAGGCCUUGUUGGACUGCAUACAGUUUGAUCCUGUUCCUAGUUUGUCAACAUCUCUAAGUGGCCCGAUAAACAUGUAAGUCUAUGAUGCAUGGUGUUGCAGGACUAUGGUAACAUCUGAAGGAGGAGCGAGGACUCUGUCCACAACCUCUACCUUAUCUACAGAUCUCUGAGGUCAUGUCAUCGCAGAGUUUCUCCUAAUAAAAACAAUGUGGUAGCCUCUGAAAUCUGGAACUCUGCAGUGGCCGUAUAUGGCACCAUUUACCUGCUCCAUGUGGUUUCCACAAUGCUUGACAGCCAUUAGCACAGACCACACUACGGGGACUGAUCUUAAAGGUUGCCAUAUAUUGGAAGAAAAAUGAAGUCUCAUCUGUUCUGUCAAUAAUUGCAAACAGAUCUGUGGAGCCAAGACAUCUAAUCUGAUGGGACAUCUCAUAAGUAGAAGCAUAUGCUUGUCAGUAGAUUCAGCUUGUUCUAUAUAUUCUCUUUCCCCAGCAGCUUCAACAUGAUAUGUGGUGGUGGGGACGUUAGUCCAAAAAAAGAAAUGUGCCAAUAAUGCAUAUAUCUCUGAUGUGUAUAAGCUUGACUAGGUCCUAAAUCAGUCUGUUUGCUAACAUGGGAGACGGCAUCAGAGGAAAGCAGAACACAAAAUAAGAACAAGGUGGUGUGGAAGCUUAGCAGAUCAAAAACCUGCAAUUGGAAAUGAGUGGUGAAAGCUUUUUGAUGCCUCGGUGAGCUGUUCAAAAUGUCACUGUCGAAAGGUAUUUAGCAAAAUCUUGCUAUUUGUUUUGCACGUAAUUUUGGACUGUAGCUACGAAAAGUCUUUUUGGUCCGGCGUGCUGGAGUGGUAGUCUGAAUGAAUUAUUUUGUUUCCUUGUAGUGGUAAUUGAAAUCAA